UACGAAGGGUGCAAGCGUUAAUCGGAAUUACUGGGCGUAAAGCGCGCGUAGGUGGUUCAGUAAGUUGGAAGUGAAAUCCCCGGGCUCAACCUGGGAACUGCUUUCAAAACUGCUGAGCUAGAGUACGGUAGAGGGUGGUGGAAUUUCCUGUGUAGCGGUGAAAUGCGUAGAUAUAGGAAGGAACACCAGUGGCGAAGGCGACCACCUGGACUGAUACUGACACUGAGGUGCGAAA
rnacentral:rRNA from 1 species